rnacentral:tRNA from 1 species
GGGUGGAUAUGCCUAGAGGCGAGGGCAAGAGACUGUAAAUCUCCCACAUGAGAAACACCGUAGGUUCGACUCCUACUCCACCCACUA